CAUCCUGACCCGCCCGCCACCCCCUUUCUUACCGACGGGCGUGCAGGCUUCGCGAAGGGGCGGAGAGAGCCCACUCGGAUCGACGGCCUCCCUCGCGCCCGGGCCCGCCGUCUCCGCCGCCGAGUGAGUCCUCGGGCUCCGGGCGUCUCGGGGUAAGCAGGAGUCCGUGAGAGGGAGGGGGAAGGGGAAGGACGCGGAGGGGAAGGGGAAGCCCCGGGCCGCGGCACCAACGCGCGAUCCCCUGAGAAGCGGAUCCAACAAUCAAUUCAUUAUUGAAGCACCAACGGCGAAGGCAGCAAAAGCAAGAAGUAACGAGCCGUCGUCGUCGCCGCGGCCACGCGCGCGCUCCCGCCGCUUAUCGGCUCCCGGCAGCCGCCAUGACGCCGAGAGAGCGAGCGCAACCGUCUCCGUCGUAGCCGCCUCCGCCGCCACCACCACCGAGGUCGUCGUCGCCUCCGCCUCCCGGGCGACGUAAGCGCCUCUGCUCACUCCCCUUCCCCACUCUGCGCGAGACGGGCCGGCGAGCGAACGGACGCGCGCACGCCAAACACCUCCGGCUGGCGCGCGGGCGGUGGGAGGGGCUACGUUGUGGAGUCGUGGGGCGUGGAAGGAAUGCUAUUGGUGCUGAGGCGGACGGAGAGUGUGGCGCGCACGCGCAAUGAUGGGAGCGCGCACGCCGGCCGCGCGGAAGCCGCCGGAUUCUGGCCACGGCCGUGGGCCGCUGAUCCUUGCUCGACCGCCCUCCCUUGGAGGCCCGGAAUUGAAUUCCGGGAAAUGGGAGCUGCAGGCCCGCUCCGUGCGGGUAUGGACGCUACUGUCACUUGGAACGGUUGCGCAAGGACGUCGCGGCGGAGAGACUGAGAAGCUACCGGGGAAGCAGGGGGGUGUGGGGAAAUGCUAAAAACUACAUUGGGGCUCGGGGUGCUGCGGGAGGGCUCCGCUAAAUAAGCCGAGAGAGCAGGGUCUUGCGUGCGGUCGGCUGACCAGGAAUCGAAUCGCAUCGCAGCUCCCUCCGGCUUCCGGACCAGACUGAGCGUCUGUCCGGAGGGUUGUGGAGAGGGUUGUGCGUCACACCAGGCAGCCUGGGAACCCAACUGUUGGGCAACUGCGGUCACCUCCCGCUGCCUACGACGCCUAGGCGACCUGCGACACAGGCUCCCUCGGGGGUCUGUUAAUCGAACGGGCGGGGCACUUGAGGAGACGGAGAAAAAUAGAGACCGAAUUGUGGAUCUCCUGUAACUCUUCUUGAUUCAUUUGUGUUUGAGAUACAGCAAUCAACAAAAAAGCCAAGUCUCUGCAUUUUUUGGAACUUGUAUUCCUGUGUGGGGAGCCAGAAGUUAAAUAUACAUCAUAUCUGGUAGUGGGGGAAAGUAAAGUGAAUCAUGAUGAAAGUUUCCUGUGUCCAUAAUUACCAUGAAGGGAGCGGAUGGCUGGUCUUCAGAGGACAUCACAGGGUUUAGACCAUGACAGAAUGCAGACUGCAGUCCCUCUCCACGUUACCAGAGUGGCACCACCCCACCUCAGAGGGACUGCUCUGUUGUCUCCCCAGAUAACUACCACCUGCAGAUUUUCUUUCCUGGCUCUGUCAAGGACAUGGUCAUCUCUCAAAACACCAUCCUUCCCUGGUAGAAGCAGCACAAACGGUAGUGACGUUGACCUGGGCGAAGUACAUCAACUUUUCUGCAGCGGACCCAAUCAGCCCUCACUCUGCAAAUGUUGUAAGAGGAAGCAACUGAUGAUUCACUUCUUGUGACCAAGUUUUUUUGGCCGAAACUAUGUAAAGUUCCAGGUUACCAACAACCACUUGCCUAAUCCUUUUAACACCAAAUGAGUCUAAAAAUACCACAGUCACCCCAAUGUCAUAUAUGAGGUAUCCCCUAUAUGAGGGGACAUGUGAUAGAGAAGAAUUCGUAAUGGAAAGGGACACAUACCCUAAGCUUUUUCUUUUUCACCCCUGGAAGGGCAGAGGAAAAGAACAAGAAAAAAGUGGAACAGGCCAGCUUUUAUCAGGGGAGGCUGACUUCAGAAAUAAAACAUGUACUGGAGCCAUUCACAGUUAGAACUGAUUUCAAAAUGAAAUUACCAUUGGCUUUCAAAUGGAAAUUUCAGGGAGAAAAUGUUAAUAAAAAUGUAAUGGUUAUAAUGGCAACCGUAAUGAUGA